rnacentral:rRNA from 1 species
AGGGUUUGAUCAUGGCUCAGGACGAACGCUGGCGGCGUGCUUUAUACAUGCAAGUCAAGGAGAACGCUUCCUUCGGGAAGCUAUUAAACUGGCGAACGGGUGAGUAACGCGUAGGCAACCUGCCCUAGAGAUUGGGAUAACAUCGGGAAACCGGUGCUAAUACCGAAUAAUGCAGCGGAUCCUUCGGGAUACAGUUGUUAAAGUGGGCUUCGGCUCACACUUUAGGAUGGGCCUGCGUCCGAUUAGCUUGUUGGUGGGGUAACGGCCUACCAAGGCAAUGAUCGGUAGCUGGUCUGAGAGGAUGAUCAGCCACACUGGGAUUGAGAUACGGCCCAGACUCCUACGGGAGGCAGCAGUAGGGAAUUUUGCGCAAUGGGGGAAACCCUGACGCAGCAACGCCGCGUGACCGAUGAAGCUUCUAGGAGCGUAAAGGUCUGUCGUAAGGGAAGAAAAGUUUGGAUGUGAAUAAUGUUCGAACCUGACGGUACCUUACAAGAAAGCACCGGCUAACUUCGUGCCAGCC